rnacentral:rRNA from 1 species
UGGGGGAUAUUGCACAAUGGGCGAAAGCCUGAUGCAGCGACGCCGCGUGGGGGAUGAAGGCCUUCGGGUUGUAAACUUCUUUUGCUCUGAACAAGGCAUGCUAAUGGGUGUGUUGAGUGUAGGGGUUGAUUAGCGCCGGCUAACUACGUGCCAGCAGCCGCGGUAAUACGUAGGGCGCGAGCGUUGUGCGGUAUUAUUGGGCGUAAAGGGCUUGUAGGUGGCUGGUUGCGUCUGUCGUGAAAGCUCAUGGCUUAACUGUGGGUUUGCGGUGGGUACGAGCUGGCUUGAGUGCAGUAGGGGAGGCUGGAAUUCCUGGUGUAGCGGUGGAAUACGCAGAUAUCAAGAGGAAUACCGGUGGCGAAGGCGGGUCUCUGGGCUGUUACUGACACUGAGGAGCGAAAGCAUGGGGAGCGAACAGG